GUAGGUGGCAAGCGUUGUCCGGAAUUAUUGGGCGUAAAGCGCGCGCAGGCGGUCCUUUAAGUCUGAUGUGAAAGCCCGCGGCUCAACCGUGGAGGGUCAUUGGAAACUGGGGGGACUUGAGUACAGAAGAGGAAAGCGGAAUUCCAAGUGUAGCGGUGAAAUGCGUAGAGAUUUGGAGGAACACCAGUGGCGAAGGCGGCUUUCUGGUCUGUAACUGACGCUGAGGCGCGAAAGCGUGGGGAGCAAACAGGGAUUAGAUACCCUGGUAGUCCACGCCGUAAACGAUGAUGCUAAGUGUUAGGGGGUUUCCGCCCCCUUAGUGCUGCAGCUAACGCAUUAAGCACUCCGCCUGGGGAUACGGCCGCAAGGCUG
rnacentral:rRNA from 1 species